UACAGAGGGGGCAAGCGUUGUUCGGAAUUACUGGGCGUAAAGGGCGCGUAGGCGGCCUGUUAAGUCGAACGUGAAAUCCCCGGGCUCAACCCGGGAACUGCGUCCGAUACUGGAUGGCUUGAAUCCGGGAGAGGGAUGCAGAAUUCCAGGUGUAGCGGUGAAAUGCGUAGAUAUCUGGAGGAAUACCGGUGGCGAAGGCGGCAUCCUGGACCGGCAUUGACGCUGAGUGAGCGAAAGCCAGGGGAGCAAACGGG
rnacentral:rRNA from 1 species